UCUAAUUAAUUACAUCUACUGUUUUUUUCAUUAUUUUCAGAAGAAAAAAUUUUAUGUGACGUAUUAUGCAAGGAUAAAAACAAAGAGAUACUUGUAAAACUUCUAUGGCAAAUUUUCAAAUUUUUAAGGAAAAAUUAUUCACUGAUAGACAAAUUUCUAUAGUUAUAGAAUUAAUAUUUUCAACUCAUAAUUUUUAUCUCGCAAACUAUUGGAACACAGCUGAAGAAACAUAUAAAUAUUUUUUCGAACGUCUUCUUUCAUAUAUCAUUAUGAAUCCAUCAAACUGUACAGAAGUAUUGACACCAAACCAAGCUGAACUAAUACUUGAAUUUUUUCACAAAAUAUAUAUGGAAAAUAUCAUGUUAUUACAGCUUGUUUAUAUGACUCAUUACUGUACUGUUGUGCGGCAGUGAUAAAUAAAUUCAUACGUGUUACAAGA